CACAUGCAGUCGAGCGGGGGAGGUAGCUUGCUACCGGACCUAGCGGCGGACGGGUGAGUAAUGCUUAGGAAUCUGCCUAUUAGUGGGGGACAACAUCUCGAAAGGGAUGCUAAUACCGCAUACGUCCUACGGGAGAAAGCAGGGGAUCUUCGGACCUUGCGCUAAUAGAUGAGCCUAAGUCGGAUUAGCUAGUUGGUGGGGUAAAGGCCUACCAAGGCGACGAUCUGUAGCGGGUCUGAGAGGAUGAUCCGCCACACUGGGACUGAGACACGGCCCAGACUCCUACGGGAGGCAGCAGUGGGGAAUAUUGGACAAUGGGGGGAACCCUGAUCCAGCCAUGCCGCGUGUGUGAAGAAGGCCUUAUGGUUGUAAAGCACUUUAAGCGAGGAGGAGGCUACUUUAGUUAAUACCUAGAGAUAGUGGACGUUACUCGCAGAAUAAGCACCGGCUAACUCUGUGCCAGCAGCCGCGGUAAUACAGAGGGUGCGAGCGUUAAUCGGAUUUACUGGGCGUAAAGCGUGCGUAGGCGGCUUAUUAAGUCGGAUGUGAAAUCCCCGAGCUUAACUUGGGAAUUGCAUUCGAUACUGGUGAGCUAGAGUAUGGGAGAGGAUGGUAGAAUUCCAGGUGUAGCGGUGAAAUGCGUAGAGAUCUGGAGGAAUACCGAUGGCGAAAGCAGCCAUCUGGCCUAAUACUGACGCUGAGGUACGAAAGCAUGGGGAGCAAACAGGAUUAGAUACCCUGGUAGUCCAUGCCGUAAACGAUGUCUACUAGCCGUUGGGGCCUUUGAGGCUUUAGUGGCGCAGCUAACGCGAUAAGUAGACCGCCUGGGGAGUACGGUCGCAAGACUAAAACUCAAAUGAAUUGACGGGGGCCCGCACAAGCG
rnacentral:rRNA from 1 species